rnacentral:lncRNA from 1 species
GGACGCUGCCAGCGUGCAGGCCCCUACGGAAGCCGAGACUGAGCUUCGUGCGAGGCCCGGGCAGCAGCGGCGGCGGCGGCGAGGUCAGAGGGAUCCUCGCAGAAACUGUGGUGGCUUCCGUGUGUUGGUGGAGGAAGAGGCAGGUCUUGGCGGUUCAACAGUAUGGCUCCAAAUGAUGAAAUUUCAUUCUGUUUUUCUGGCUGAAUACUAUUCUAUUUGUAGACAUCCACCACAGUUACUUUAUCCCUUCAUGUGUGGAUGGGCAGGUAAGUUUAUUCUUUAUCUUGACAGUUGUAAAUAGUGCUGCAGUUUGCAUAGGAUGGCAGAUAUCUCUUGCAUGGACUGAUUUCUUUUGCACCGAAGGUAUACUUAGUAGUAAAAUUGUUAUAUGAAGUGGUAGUUGUAGGUUUAAUUUUUGGAGGAAUCUCCCACUGAUUUUUGUAGUCUGUAUACUAAUUAACAUUCUUACCAAAAGAGUUCCUCUCUGGAAAUUUACACCAGCAUUUGUGUCUCUUGAUAUAUUUUAUCACUUUGAUAACAU